rnacentral:rRNA from 1 species
GUACACGCUGUGACUAGCAUAUCAAUAAGCGGAGGAAAAGAAACUAACAAGGAUUCCCCUAGUAACGGCGAGUGAAGCGGGAAGAGCUCAAAUUUGAAAUCUUAAAGGGUUUCCCUUUACGAAUUGUAGUUUAAAGAAGUGUUUUCUGUUGAGGUUUUGGUAAAAGUUCUUUGGAAUAGGACAUCAUAGAGGGUGAGAAUCCCGUAUUUGACCUUUACUUUCAACUUUGUGAUACACUUUCAAAGAGUCGGAUUGUUUGGGAAUGCAGUCCAAAAUGGGUGGUAAAUUUCAUCUAAAGCUAAAUAUUGGCGAGAGACCGAUAGCGAACAAGUACCGUGAGGGAAAGAUGAAAAGAACUUUGAAAAGAGAGUUAAACAGUACGUGAAAUUGUCAAAAGGGAAGCGUUUGACACCAGUGUUGUUUUUCUGAAAAUCAAUUAAAGAACUGUUUAUGCUAAGCUGUUUAGACUUUAUUCAGCUAUCUGUUUAGUUUUGAGCUUUUCUUUAAUGCACUUUUCAGUUAACAAGUCAACAUCAAUUUCUCUUUGCUGUAAAAAAGCUUGAGGAAGGUGGCUUGAGAUUCGUCUUAAGUGUUUAUAGCCUCUUGCCUAUGCAGUCGGAGAGAUUGAGGUCUGCAGCGUAGAUCCUUCGGGGCUAAAUGCAUUUGUGCUAAGUUAUAGCAUUUUAUAGACAACUUGUUGACUAUGAUUUGUCUUGUAGCUUACUCGCUUAUGUUAUUUUACCUACGCUUAGGAUGUUGACGCGCGUGUGUGCGUG